CACGUAGGGGGCGAGCGUUGUCCGGAUUUAUUGGGUUUAAAGGGUGCGUAGGCGGUCUAUUAAGUCAGUGCUGAAAUAUCCCGGCUUAACCGGGAGGGUGGCAUUGAUACUGAUGGACUUGAGUAAAGUUGAGGUUGGCGGAAUUGACGGUGUAGCGGUGAAAUGCUUAGAUAUCGUCAAGAACACCUAUUGCGAAGGCAGCUAACUAAGCUUAAACUGACGCUGAGGCACGAAAGUGUGGGGAUCAAACAGG
rnacentral:rRNA from 1 species